rnacentral:rRNA from 1 species
UACAGAGGUGGCGAGCGUUGUUCGGAUUUAUUGGGCGUAAAGGGUCCGUAGGCGGUCUGGAAAGUCGGGUAUGAAAUCCUACAGCUUAACUGUGGAACUGCACUCGAAACUCCCGGACUGGAGUGUGAGAGGGGUAAAGGGAAUUCCCGGUGUAAGGGUGAAAUCUGCAGAGAUCGGGAAGAACACCAGUCGCGAAGGCGCUUUACUGGCUCACUACUGACGCUGAGGGACGAAAGCUAGGGGAGCAAACGGGAUUAGAUACCCCCGUA